CUGCACUUCGGGAUAAGCCUGGGAAACUGGGUCUAAUACCGGAUAGGACCACGGGAUGCAUGUCUUGUGGUGGAAAGCGCUUUAGCGGUGUGGGAUGAGCCCGCGGCCUAUCAGCUUGUUGGUGGGGUGACGGCCUACCAAGGCGACGACGGGUAGCCGGCCUGAGAGGGUGUCCGGCCACACUGGGACUGAGAUACGGCCCAGACUCCUACGGGAGGCAGCAGUGGGGAAUAUUGCACAAUGGGCGCAAGCCUGAUGCAGCGACGCCGCGUGGGGGAUGACGGCCUUCGGGUUGUAAACCUCUUUCACCAUCGACGAAGGUCCGGGUUCUCUCGGAUUGACGGUAGGUGGAGAAGAAGCACCGGCCAACUACGUGCCAGCAGCCGCGGUAAUACGUAGGGUGCGAGCGUUGUCCGGAAUUACUGGGCGUAAAGAGCUCGUAGGUGGUUUGUCGCGUUGUUCGUGAAAUCUCACGGCUUAACUGUGAGCGUGCGGGCGAUACGGGCAGACUAGAGUACUGCAGGGGAGACUGGAAUUCCUGGUGUAGCGGUGGAAUGCGCAGAUAUCAGGAGGAMCACCGGUGGCGAAGGCGGGUCUCUGGGCAGUAACUGACGCUGAGGAGCGAAAGCGUGGGGAGCGAACAGGAUUAGAUACCCUGGUAGUCCACGCCGUAA
rnacentral:rRNA from 1 species